rnacentral:rRNA from 2 species
GGAAGUAAAAGUCGUAACAAGGUCUCCGUUGGUGAACCAGCGGAGGGAUCAUUACAGAGUUGCAAAACUCCCUAAACCAUUGUGAACGUUACCUAUACCGUUGCUUCGGCGGGCGGCCCCGGGGUUUACCCCCCGGGCGCCCCUGGGCCCCACCGCGGGCGCCCGCCGGAGGUCACCAAACUCUUGAUAAUUUAUGGCCUCUCUGAGUCUUCUGUACUGAAUAAGUCAAAACUUUCAACAACGGAUCUCUUGGUUCUGGCAUCGAUGAAGAACGCAGCGAAAUGCGAUAAGUAAUGUGAAUUGCAGAAUUCAGUGAAUCAUCGAAUCUUUGAACGCACAUUGCGCCCGCCAGCAUUCUGGCGGGCAUGCCUGUUCGAGCGUCAUUUCAACCAUCAAGCCCCCGGGCUUGUGUUGGGGACCUGCGGCUGCCGCAGGCCCUGAAAAGCAGUGGCGGGCUCGCUGUCGCACCGAGCGUAGUAGCAUACAUCUCGCUCUGGUCGCGCCGCGGGUUCCGGCCGUUAAACCACCUUUUAACCCAAGGUUGACCUCGGAUCAGGUAGGAAGACCCGCUGAACUUAAGCAUAUCAAUAAGCGGAGGA